GGGGGUGACACAGUGACAGAGUGAGGAAGGGGGUGACACAGUGACAGAGUGAGGGAGGGGGUGACUAGUGACAGAGUGAAGGAGGUGGUGACUGUCACUAGUCACCCCCUUCCCUCCCUCACUCUGUCACUAGUCACCCCUUCCUCACUUUGUCACUAGUCACCCCUUCCCUCCCUAACUCUGUCACUAGUCACCACUUCCCUCCCUCACUCUGUCACUAGUCACCCCC